rnacentral:lncRNA from 1 species
GCCCCCCGGGGGUCCCGUCCUGCCCCACCCCCCUGACCCCACGGCUGCUCCCUGCAGGUGCAGCGCAUCAAGCAGCUGAGCUGCGGGCUGCGGCAGGCGCUGGAGGGCGGCGUGGAGGGGCUGCGGCCCCCGGAGGUGGGUGGGGGUCUGUGGGUCCUCCGUGUCACCCCACUGUGUCCCUCUGUGUCCCAUCAUGUCCCUCUGUGUCCCUCUGUGUCCCAUCACGUCCCUCUGUGUCCCAUUGUGUCCCAUUGUGUCCCAUUGCAUCCCUCUGAGUCCCAUUGUGUCCCAUUGCAUCCCUGUUUCCCAUCGUGUCCCAUUGCGUUCCUCUGUGUCCCAUCGCAUCCUUCUGUGUCCCAUCGUGUCCCUUUAUGUCCCUCUGUGUCCCAUCGUAUCCCAUUGCAUCCCUCUGUGUCCCAUCAUGUCCCAUCAUAUCCCUCUGUGUCCCAGUGUCCCAUCACGUCCCUCUGUGUCCCAUCACGUCCCUCUGUGUCCCAGUGUCCCACUGAAUCCCUCUGUGUCCCAUUGUGUCCCAUUGCAUCCUUCUGUGUCCCAUCGUGUCCCUUUAUGUCCCUCUGUGUCCCAUUGUGUCCCAUCAUGUCCCAUCUUGUCCUUCUGUGUCCCAGUGUACCAUUGAAUCCCUCUGUGUCCCAUCAUGUCCCUCUGUGUCCCAUUGUGUCCCAUCCUGUCCCUCUGUGUUCCAUUGUGUCCCAUCAUGUCCCAUCUUGUCCCUCUGUGUCCCAUCAUGUCCCUCUGUGUCCCAGUGUCCCACUGAAUCCCUCUGUGUCCCAUCAUGUCCCAUUGUGUCCCAUCGUAUCCCAUUGCAUCCCUCUGAGUCCCACUGUGUCCCAUUGCAUCCCUGUAUCCCAUUGUGUCCCAUUGGAUCCUUCUGUGUCCCAUCGUGUCCUAUUUCAUUCCUCUGUGUCCCUCUGUGUCCCGUUGCAUCCCUGUGUCCUAUCGUGUCCCAUCAUGUCCCAUUGUAUCCCUGUGUGUCCCAUCGUGUCCCACUGUGUCUGAUCACGUCCCAUUGUGUCCCUCUAUGUCCCUGUGUGACCCAUCGUGUC